ACUUCGCACUAUAUUCAAGACCCAGCAGAAGAUGUUGGAGGUGCCCACGUACUUGGGAGCUUUUAUUUUAAGCUGUGCCCACCUGGAGUCCCCAGGACUGAUCAUGAUCACCUGGAAGACAGUCAAGAGGCAGGUGGCUCCAAUGGCCACAUCCCUGCCCACUCUGUGAACAAAGAAAACAAGUCUGCAUCCAAAAUCAUCGAGAAAAUGUGUCAACCCAAAAGAUGCCAUUGUUUGAGGGAUUCCUUUAGAAAAAAUAACUAAGAGGUUGGCUACAGUCAGAUACUUAAGAAUCAAGUCUGUGCACCUAAGCUUGUAUCCUGUCAAAUAAAGGAAGAGAUAAUAGUAAAAAACAGAGAAAUUCCCCAGAAGUCCAACUGUAGUUUGUAAGAAAAAGAUCAUUGCCAUCGUCAAAUCCCUGGUGGUCAUUCUGUAAAAUCCCAGGGAGUGAAAUUCUUCUUCUGAGCCAGGUUCCUGCAUGGGAACAGGAGGUGUGAGGCACGUGUGUCACAUUGGUUAAAAUCCAAUGUUCUCCACUUA
rnacentral:lncRNA from 1 species